CCCUUAGAUGUCCUGGGCCGCACGCGCGUUACACUGAUGCAUUCAACGAGCUUAUAACCUUGGCCGAGAGGCCUGGGCAAUCUUGUUAACGUGCAUCGUGAUAGGGAUAGAUUAUUGAAAUUAUUAAUCUUGAACGAGGAAUUCCUAGUAAACGCAGAUCAUCAAUCUGCAUUGAUUACGUCCCUGCCCUUUGUACACACCGCCCGUCGCACCUACCGAUUGAAUGGUCCGGUGAAAUCCUCGGAUCGAGCCGUGGGGCAACUCCGGUUCGAGAAGUUGAUUAAACCUUACCAUUUAGAGGAAGGUGAAGUCGUAACA
rnacentral:rRNA from 1 species